GAGCAGAGUUCUCAGGCUUGCCUGAGCUUCUGCUCUGAUAGCAGAAAGGCAUCUUAGUAAGUGCUGAGAAAUAUGGUGGGCAAGGAAUAUGGAUCCACAGAAACUCCGUUCACCCUUAGCAUGUGUGUAAGGCUUUGCCUGUGUGAAAAAUUAUACCAGUAUGGUUUAUAUUGAUGCAAGAAAAUCAAUACAAGCAAUCCUGAUCGUGGGUGUUCCCACUGCUGCACCAGUUUAAGCUACUUCACUUUUGAAGCUGUGCAUCCACACUGCACAGGGUGGCAUUGAUUGAAGUGCCUGGAACUCUGGGUAGAUGUCCCAAGCUAUGUUUCGAGGCUUUCAGCAUUCUGUGUCAUUUUCAUGGUUGAUUGUGGGACACCACCUGGAUGUCAGAGGAAUUAGUAGGAAUAAGGAUCCAACUCCCAUGAUCCUGCCUGCUGUAUCCCAGGAUUCACUUAGUGCCCUUCUGCCCUGGCCAUUUCAAUAUUACUCUUCCAGAACUGCUAACAUGGAAGAAUCCCAGACGAAUGUUGCACUCCUUUUAUUGAGAUGAAGAGGAUGAGCCUCUUGUCCUGGAGAGCAUGCAGUGAGGCAUCCACCACGCCCAUUGCUGGUGCCAUGGGUGUUCAAGGCGGGCAGUGUACAGGAGAUUAUUGAGGGAUUUUCAUGUUUAGAGUUUAGAUUUGUAUUGAUGGAACCCAUGUGCCUAUUAACUAUCUCCUCCCCACCACACAUACCCUGGUUGUUCGUCAAUAGGAAAGGCUGUUUCUGCCUGGUACUGUGGACUUUGGUGGAUCACCAAGGUGGGUUCACCAACAUUAAUGUGGGGUGGUCUGGAAAAGCCUAUGGUGCUCAGAUGCUCAGAAGUUCAUCUCUGUUUUUAGGCAGAAUGUUUUCCCUCAGCUGUACAAUGGAUACAGAAGGAGUGAAUUGAAAAAUAUGAUUCUGGGAGGUCCAGCUUACUCUGUGCCUCCCUGGCUUAUGAGGCCUUCAACUGGAAUUUGGACAAGAGAAAGGAACUUUUUAAUUUUACCCUCGGGUGUCUGGGAAGUGGACAUUUGGAAAACUGAAUGGCAACUGGAGGUUUCUCAUGAUACAGCUGAGCUCAUAAGAUUCUUCCCAGCCCAAGUGAAAAGCAUUUUAGGCUUCCAUUGAAGCAGGAGCCAAUGGCUUUAGAAGUGAAAGGACAUCUCCCAGAGAUUCAGCGUGGACAGGAAGAGUUGCUCUCAGAUUGUGAUGGGGUAAACAAACCCCACACUGGGCCCAAAGGAGUGAGAAGGCAAUACUGGAUCCAGACAGCCCUGCUCCUCUGAGUCUGCUGAGCAUGUUUCAACAGGAGCAGCAGGAUAAAUGGAGAUCAGUAGCCCAGACAAAGAGGAGUAGACAGACUACAGGAGAGCAGAAUCCUUCUCCGGAAAGCUAGGCAGAAGGUUGAGCCUAAGAGGUGACCACAGAAUGGGUAAAACCCAUAGUCAGUGCCUUCACUUGCCAUCACCCUCUUUGAAAACCAGCAAGUCCUGCAGGGCCUUGCUCCUUUGGACUCUUUAUUCGGUUGAGCCACCAACUGUUUGGACCAUGCCCCAAAGUGUAGGGACCUACUGGUAGGGAGUAGCCCAGGGAAGUGAAUUUAGACUUGUUGCAGGGACAAACUUGGCAGUGUUGCUUCCCACAGCACUCUGGGAAGGACCCAAUGUAGAGGGAGGGCCUAGGUCCCCCUACCACACCCUGCGUAAGGGCCAAGGCCCAGAUGAAGGUGGAAAGCCAAAGACUCCCAGCUUAUGAUCAGGAAAGGUACCUCUACCGCCCUGACAGAGAGGCAAGCAGUCAGAAGUGAGGUGCUCUCACCACUAGGCUGCCCAGCCCUUUGAGCCCCCUAUCACACAGAUCAUUUAUGAAUAUGUUGAACAGCAAAGGUUCCACUACAGAUCUUUGGGGGACCCAUCUAUUUAACUCUCUCCACUGAGAAAACUGACCAUAUAUUCUUACCUUAUGCCUGUCUUUUAACAAGUUACUGAUCUAUGACAGAACCUUCCCUCCUAUCCCAUGACUGCUUAUUUUGCUUAAGAGCCUUUGGUGUGAGACCUUGUCAAGGCUUUCUGAAAAUCCAAGUACAUUAUAGUCACUGGAUAACCUUUGUCCACAUGAUUGUUGACACCAUCAAAGAAGUCUAAUAGAUUGGUGAGGCAUGAAAUCCCUUUAUAAAAGUUGUGUAGUCUCUUCCUCAGUAUAUUGUGUUCAUUUAUGUGUCUGAUAAUUCUGUUUUUCACUAUAGACUCAAGCAAUUUGCCUGGUACUGAAGUUAGGUUUACCGACUGUAAUUGCCAGGAUCGCCUCUGGAGCCCUUUUUAAAA